AGUGAACGCUGGCGGUAGGCCUAACACAUGCAAGUCGAACGGCAGCACAGUAAGGGCUUGCUCUUACGGGUGGCGAGUGGCGGACGGGUGAGGAAUACAUCGGAAUCUACUUUUUCGUGGGGGAUAACGUAGGGAAACUUACGCUAAUACCGCAUACGACCUACGGGUGAAAGCAGGGGAUCUUCGGACCUUGCGCGAUUGAAUGAGCCGAUGUCGGAUUAGCUAGUUGGCGGGGUAAAGGCCCACCAAGGCGACGAUCCGUAGCUGGUCUGAGAGGAUGAUCAGCCACACUGGAACUGGGACACGGUCCAGACUCCUACGGGAGGCAGCAGUGGGGAAUAUUGGACAAUGGGCGCAAGCCUGAUCCAGCCAUACCGCGUGGGUGAAGAAGGCCUUCGGGUUGUAAAGCCCUUUUGUUGGGAAAGAAAAGCAGCAGGUUAAUACCCCGCUGUUCUGACGGUACCCAAAGAAUAAGCACCGGCUAACUUCGUG
rnacentral:rRNA from 1 species